UACGAAGGGGGCUAGCGUUGCUCGGAAUCACUGGGCGUAAAGGGUGCGUAGGCGGGUCUUUUAAGUCAGGGGUGAAAUCCUGGAGCUCAACUCCAGAACUGCCUUUGAUACUGGCAACCUAGAGACUGGAAGAGGUUAGUGGAAUUCCCAGUGUAGAGGUGAAAUGCGCAGAUAUCGGGGAGGAACACCAGUAGCGAAGGCGGCACUCUGGGCCGGUACUGACGCUGAGGAGCAAAAGCGUGGGGAGCAAACAGG
rnacentral:rRNA from 1 species